GAUGAACGCUAGCUACAGGCUUAACACAUGCAAGUCGAGGGGAAACGAUAUUGGAAGCUUGCUUCCGAUAGGCGUCGACCGGCGCACGGGUGAGUAACGCGUAUCCAACCUGCCCAUCACUUGGGGAUAACCUUGCGAAAGUAAGACUAAUACCCAAUGACGUCUCUAGAAGACAUCUGAAAGAGAUUAAAGAUUUAUCGGUGAUGGAUGGGGAUGCGUCUGAUUAGCUUGUUGGCGGGGUAACGCCCACCAAGGCGACGAUCAGUAGGGGUUCUGAGAGGAAGGUCCCCCCANAUUGGAACUGAGACACGGUCCAAAACUCCUACGGGAGCAGCAGUGAGGAAUAUUGGUCAAUGGGACAGAGUCUGAACCAGCCAAGUAGCGUGCAGGAUGACGGCCCUAUGGGUUGUAAACUGCUUUUAUAAGGGAAUAAAGUGAGUCUCGUGAGACUUUUUGCAUGUACCUUAUGAAUAAGGACCGGCUAAUUCCGUGCCAGCAGCCG
rnacentral:rRNA from 1 species